AUAUAAUUUUCAACAAACAUGGAUAAUAGGCAGAAGGAGCACAUUACAAUUUGUCUCUGCAGUAAAACCAAUCCUAAUCAAUUAACGGAAGUAAAAUAGUUUAGAUUCUGUUGACUGGAUGUAAAAACAUAGGGCUAUUAGAGCAAUAACUCAAUGUUAUUUUUAAGGUUUGCAUUUGUAAUAAUUAACAUCCUUCAAGUCUAUUAACCUUUAUUUACCAUAAAAAUAGGUAGCAGAAAAAAAGAGAAACAGUUAAACGCAUAGUAAAUAUGUUUUUGUAAAUGAUGUCCUGUUUUUGUAAGUCAUUAUUUUACAUAAAUAUGCAUUCCUUUUCAAAUGUAUAAUAAACAAGCAAUAUAAUGAUCCAGACUGGGUUACUGUGAUGUCAUUAAUUGAACCAAAAAUGGAUCCUUAAUAGAUCAUUUGUGAAUGCCCUAAAGAUCAAACAUAUUUUUUGAAUAUGUAAGAAAAAAGUGUAAAUGGUUAAUAUAACGUGUUACAUCUACAUGUAAAAUAUAGUCUGUGCUAAUAAUAAUGCAGAUGACUUAAUUGCUAUACAGAAAUAGCUCAAUAAAAUAAACCCAAAA